GACGAACGCUGGCGGCGUGCCUAACACAUGCAAGUCGAACGGAAAGGCCCUGCUUUUGUGGGGUGCUCGAGUGGCGAACGGGUGAGUAACACGGGAGUAACCUGCCCUUGACUUUGGGAUAACUUCAGGAAACUGGGGCUAAUACCGGGUAGGAGCUCCUGCUGCAUGGUGGGGGUUGGAAAGUUUCGGCGGUGGGGGAUGGACUCGCGGCUUAUCAGCUUGUUGGUGGGGUAGUGGCUUACCAAGGCUUUGACGGGUAGCCGGCCUGAGAGGGUGACCGGCCACAUUGGGACUGAGAUACGGCCCAGACUCCUACGGGAGGCAGCAGUGGGGAAUAUUGCACAAUGGGCGGAAGCCUGAUGCAGCAACGCCGCGUGCGGGAUGACGGCCUUCGGGUUGUAAACCGCUUUCGCCUGUGACGAAGCGUGAGUGACGGUAAUGGGUAAAGAAGCACCGGCUAACUACGUG
rnacentral:rRNA from 1 species